UCUAUCAAAGAUGUUUGAUUACAACAUGAACUACAUAAGCUCAAAGUGCAAGACUCUUAAUACUCAGCCAGUGGUGGUGGUGGUGGUGGUGGAAGCGGGAUUAGAAGUAUUUCCUCCGAAGUCAUUUUGGUUGUUGUUCAACUGAGAUUGAUGGGUGGAGGUGGAGUCGUCAGAAGGAUUGCUGGAAAUAUUAUGAGCACUUGAAAAGAGAUCAACAGGCUCAGAGUCAGCAAUCUUCCCACCUUCAAGUGGGGUGCCAUGCUUGUAUCUAACCCUUACAGCUUCAUCGU
rnacentral:lncRNA from 1 species